ensembl:lncRNA
UCCUCUCAAAAAACUAAUUUACUCAAAACCAAGUGUUGAUUCAUUAACAAGUUUAUAAAACAGUGAUUUAGUUACAUAAAUAAAUCGAUCAGUGUAUCAAAUCUUAGUUUCAACUUCAUGAGCAUGUCGACAUGGUUGUACAAUCAUUCACCUAAUGUAAUAAAUAAAAGGGAGCAUCAUUUGUUUCUAAACAAAGGAGCUACUAACAGACCUCAAAGAGACGACAUCGAAGAACACAUGAGAUGAGCUUUUAAAGCACAGAAUACAGAGCCAGUCCAGCUACAAAUUAAAGACACUAAAAGGCUGUAACCAAAGUCAGUUGGCAUAUGAAAAGAGUUUGGUAGUUAGAACUCCCAUUUGGUUAUUUUAAAGCAUUAAGACAAGGCAAGAAAGAAGGCUGUUCUCGUGUGAGGAAUUCUAGAGAGAAAUUAAAUCAGUUGAAGAGGAAGAGAAAUUAAAAACACAAAAUAGCGUUUUAAAAAAAAAAACAGUCGAGACCUACAGUUUAGAGCAACUUUCUGUCCUGCACAAAGUCGAGAUGUGAGAAGAAGAGGCAUGGACGUGAACCAGCUUCAGUUUGGGAGCGAAUCGUUGCAGAUGCUGAUGUGAAGGCAGGUUUCUGCAGCAGUUGCAUGUCGCUGCUGCUUUGCCUCCACAGCCAUCACUUCUGCAUUUGUGUGUCCACGUCUGUCUUACAGCCGGCCAUCUCUGCAGUUCAUCACGUCUGCAGUGUGUUAGCAUUUGGACCGGCCCCGGAUGCAAUGCAAGGCAAACAUUUCGAAGUCCUACUGAUAUGUUUUUUUCAUGUUUGUUUCAAAAACCAAAAGUACUGCAGCUUCAAGUAUUGUGCCUUACAUAUAGAAUAUUCUGUCAUAAAUUAGUUAACAUAUACAUUUUUCAAUAUUCAGACAUAUACUUUCAUAUAUACAGAACAAUAAAAUGCUUUUGCUCUUUUUUUCUUCUUUUUCGUCUGUUUUUUCUUUAGAGAAAUCCCUGAGAACGUAUGCUGACAGUUGCCAAGUUUCCACAAGAGCGAGCGCUGUGACAGUUUGUCUUUGUAAAAUGAGCAUACUGAACUUUUGAGACAACACUGCAAAGCCAAAGCAAUCAGCCUGAAGAUGGCAGAAAAUAACCCAGUAAAAUGAAUUCUGAUGGUGGAUUUGGAGUUUUUUCUCGAGCAGAUGGGCAAGGAGGCCUGUGGGGGGGGAGAGUAAAGCUGGAUCCUUAAAAAGAGGUACUCGUCACUUCAGAUGGAGUUGCUCCAUUUGGUUUAAAGCCGUUUGACUUCUCUUUGAGGCUGUGAGCUGAAGGAAGUAAGAGGAGUGCAAGGUAGACAUUUUGCCACUGGACAAUACAGGAUACAGUCAGUGUAAAACUCUCUCACUGUCAUACAUGUAAAGGGAAAAACACACAAACAUCCACAAACUGACAGCCUUCUCCUUCUGCAAACUUUACCGUUUAUACACAUCAAUAACCGUGGGGCCAG